GAUGAACGCUGGCGGCGUGCCUAUUACAUGCAAGUCGAGCGAACAGACGAGGAGCUUGCUCCUCUGACGUUAGCGGCGGACGGGUGAGUAACACGUGGAUAACCUACCUAUAAGACUGGGAUACUUCGGGAAACCGGAGCUAAUACCGGAUAAUAUAUUGAACCGCAUGGUUCAAUAGUGAAAGACGGUUUUGCUGUCACUUAUAGAUGGAUCCGCGCCGCAUUAGCUAGUUGGUAAGGUAACGGCUUACCAAGGCGACGAUGCGUAGCCGACCUGAGAGGGUGAUCGGCCACACUGGAACUGAGACACGGUCCAGACUCCUACGGGAGGCAGCAGUAGGGAAUCUUCCGCAAUGGGCGAAAGCCUGACGGAGCAACGCCGCGUGAGUGAUGAAGGUCUUCGGAUCGUAAAACUCUGUUAUUAGGGAAGAACAAAUGUGUAAGUAACUAUGCACGUCUUGACGGUACCUAAUCAGAAAGCCACGGCUAACUACGUG
rnacentral:rRNA from 1 species